GAUGAACGCUGGCGGCGUGCCUAAUACAUGCAAGUCGAGCGAACAGACGAGGAGCUUGCUCCUCUGAUGUUAGCGGCGGACGGGUGAGUAACACGUGGAUAACCUACCUAUAAGACUGGGAUAAAUUCGGGAAAACGGAGCUAAUACCGUAUAAUAUAUUGAACCGCAUGGUUCAAUAAUGAAAGACGAUUUUGCUGUCACUUAUAGAUCGAUCCGCGCCGCAUUAGCUAGUUGGUAAGGUAACGGCUUACCAAGGCAACGAUGCGUAGCCGACCUGAGAGGGUGAUCGGCCACACUGGAACUGAGACACGGUCCAGACUCCUACGGGAGGCAGCAGUAGGGAAUCUUCCGCAAUGGGCGAAAGCCUGACGGAGCAACGCCGCGUGAUUGAUGAAGGUCUUCGGAUCGAAAAACUCUGUUAUUAGGGAAGAACAAUUGUGUAAGUAACUGUGCACGUCUUGACGGUACCUAAUCAGAAAGCCACGGCUAACUACGUG
rnacentral:rRNA from 1 species